rnacentral:rRNA from 1 species
UGGGGAAUAUUGCACAAUGGGGGGAACCCUGAUGCAGCGACGCCGCGUGAGCGAAGAAGUAUCUCGGUAUGUAAAGCUCUAUCAGCAGGGAAGAAAGUGACGGUACCUGACUAAGAAGCCCCGGCUAACUACGUGACAGCCGCCGCGGUAAUACGUAGGGGGCAAGCGUUAUCCGGAUUUACUGGGUGUAAAGGGAGCGCAGGCGGCGCGGUAAGUCUGAUGUGAAAGCCCGGGGCUCAACCCCGGGACUGCAUUGGAAACUGUCGUGCUGGAGUGUCGGAGGGGCAAGUGGAAUUCCUAGUGUAGCGGUGAAAUGCGUAGAUAUUAGGAGGAACACCAGUGGCGAAGGCGGCUUGCUGGACGACAACUGACGCUGAGGCUCGAAAGCGUGGGGAGCAAACAGG